CUUUGGACUCCUUCAUUUGGUUUUCUAAAGCUAUCGUGGUAAAUCGCGAGUGUAAAAGUUCAAUUUAGUAACUUGGUGAAAGUUUUUUUUUAAAGUGAAUUGACGUUUUUUUUUUUAUCCACAUUGGUUUUUAUUUUUUUUGUGUUGCUUACGAACAAGACACUUGUGCCUCCUCUUAAAAAUUCCUACCAUUUUUGGACCAUUGGGUCCCAUAGAAGAGCUUUGGAGGCUUUCCUCAGGGCUGCCUAAGCCCACAGGAUUUUUUGCCUUUUUCUUGCCACCUUUAUGAGGUUUCUACAUAUUGUAUAUUCACGGCACUGUCGAGCACCGCAGAAAAGAAAACCACCGAUUGAAACCUGUCCUCGGCUCAGUUCCCUUUUUCUUGCUUCUCAGCAAAAUUUUAUUGUGGUUUGCUUACACUGGAAACACUGGAGAAUUCAGUCUUCUAUUGUCGCUGCAUCCUACAUAUCGUCUCUAAACACAGGGGUUCGUUGCCCGACGAAGAAAUUAGACCGGAUAAUAUGUGAGAUUCGAUGAAAGUGUGUAGUUUUAUGGCCUGGAAGCCCGAGAAUCAAUGAAAAGUGGUAUAGUUUCGACAUAGAAAGCCUGCCAAUUAACCCCCUGUCCGUAAUCGAACAACAGAAAAACGUACGAUUGUUUCGUGAUAAUUACUGUGAACAAAACUUAACAUCUAAUAACUGCCUGGAAUUAUUUUUCUGCCCAUCCAACACAUAGUAUUAUAUAUUUCUUUUUAAAUUUUUAUAUUACUUUUCAUUUUGUGAGACAAAAUUAUAAAAUAGUUUUUCUUUAGUAUGUGCUAAUUUUGCUCGGAGUUGGUGUGAUUUUUCUAAUAGGUUUUAAAACGGGAAAAAAGUGAACAAGAAAUAUUGCAAAAUUUGCAAAAAAAAAAAAAAGAAAGGGAAAAAAUCUGAAAACAUAGAAUUUAAAUAAUUAGAGUUGUGAGAGAAAAAUUUUGUUGGCAAUUCUUGUCCUUUUUUUUUUUUUUU